rnacentral:rRNA from 1 species
UACGUAGGGGGCUAGCGUUGUCCGGAUUUAUUGGGCGUAAAGAGCGUGUAGGCGGCCAUGUAGGUCCGGUGUGAAAACUCGAGGCUUAACCUCGAGAUGUCAUCGGAAACCAUUUGGCUAGAGUCCGGAAGAGGAGAGUGGAAUUCCUGGUGUAGCGGUGAAAUGCGCAGAUAUCAGGAAGAACACCAAUGGCGAAAGCAGCUCUCUGGGCAUUACCUGACGCUGAGGAGCGAAAGUGUGGGGAGCGAACAGG